rnacentral:rRNA from 2 species
GACCUCAAAUCAGGUAGGGAUACCCGCUGAACUUAA